CUAAUACUCCCUCCGUCCCAUAAUUCUUGUUUUGUUGAGAAAUGAAUGUACCCAAAAACUAAAAUAUGACUUGAUACAUUCAUAUAUAGACAAAUUUAAAACAAGAAUUUUGUGACGGAGGAAGUAAGUA
rfam:Hordeum vulgare subsp. vulgare, WGS project CAJW01000000 data, contig: morex_contig_158783